AGAGUUUGAUCCUGGCUCAGAACGAACGCUGGCGGCAGGCUUAACACAUGCAAGUCGAACGCCCCGCAAGGGGAGUGGCAGACGGGUGAGUAACGCGUGGGAAUCUACCUAGCUCUACGGAAUAGCUUCGGGAAACUGGAAUUAAUACCGUAUACGCCCCAAGGGGGAAAGAUUUAUCGGAGUUAGAUGAGCCCGCGUUGGAUUAGCUAGUUGGUGGGGUAAUGGCCUACCAAGGCGACGAUCCAUAGCUGGUCUGAGAGGAUGAUCAGCCACACUGGGACUGAGACACGGCCCAGACUCCUACGGGAGGCAGCAGUGGGGAAUAUUGGACAAUGGGCGCAAGCCUGAUCCAGCCAUGCCGCGUGAGUGAUGAAGGCCUUAGGGUUGUAAA
rnacentral:rRNA from 1 species